GAAAUCGGGCCCAAUACCGAAUAUGACUCCGAGGUGAAAUGCCUUGGGGUAAAAGCUGCGAGCAAUCGUGGCGCCGAAGGAGGGACCUGCGGCCUAUCAGCUUGUUGGUGAGGUAACGGCUCACCAAGGCAAAGACGGGUAGCCGGACUGAGAGGUCGAUCGGCCACACUGGAACUGAGACACGGUCCAGACUCCUACGGGAGGCAGCAGUGGGGAAUUUUGCGCAAUGGGCGAAAGCCUGACGCAGCGACGCCGCGUGGGGGAAGAAGGCCUUCGGGUUGUAAACUCCUUUAGUACGGGAAGAAGCCUUCGGGUGACGGUACCGUAAGAAUAAGCCACGGCUAACUCUGUGCCAGCAGCCGCGGUAAGACAGAGGUGGCAAGCGUUGUUCGGAUUUACUGGGCUUAAAGGGCGUGUAGGCGUCCUGAUAAGUCAGAUGUGGAAGCCUUGGGCUCAACCCAAGAAGUGCAUUUGAAACUGUCAGGAUUGAGUCGUGCAAGGGAGGGCGGAAUUCCUGGUGUAGCGGUGAAAUGCGUAGAUAUCAGGAGG
rnacentral:rRNA from 1 species